CAUAACACAUGCAAGUUGAACGUGAAAGGGAGAAAUCCUGAGUAAAGUGGCGCACGGGUGAGUAACGCGUAGGUAAUCAGCCCCAAAGUCUGGAAUAACCCAUCUAAAGGUGGGCUAAUACGGGAUAAAGCUCAAAAGCAAGAAGCUAUUUGAGCCAAAGGAGGGAAGUAAAAAUCCUUUCGCUAAGGGAAGAGCCUGCGUCUGAUGAGCUAGUUGGUAGGGUAAGAGCCUACCAAGGCAACGAUAAGUAGCUGGUCUGAGAGGAUGAACAGCCACACUGGAACUGAAACACGGUCCAGACUCCUACGGGAGGCAGCAGUGAGGAAUUUUGCGCAAUGGACGAAAGUCUGACGCAGCCACGCCGCGUGAGUGAAGAAGGCCUUCGGGUUGUAAAGCUCUGUCGGGGGAGAAGAAAACCUAGGGAACGAAUAAUUUUCUAGCUUGACGGUAUCCCUAAAGGAAGCACCGGCUAACUCCGUGCCAGCAGCCGCGGUAA
rnacentral:rRNA from 1 species